rnacentral:rRNA from 1 species
CAGCAGCCGCGGGAAUGCGUAGGGUGCGAGCGUUAAUCGGAAUUACUGGGCGUAAAGCGUGCGCAGGCGGCUUUGCAAGACAGAUGUGAAAUCCCCGGGCUCAACCUGGGAACUGCAUUUGUGACUGCAUGGCUAGAGUACGGUAGAGGGGGAUGGAAUUCCGCGUGUAGCAGUGAAAUGCGUAGAUAUGCGGAGGAACACCGAUGGCGAAGGCAAUCCCCUGGACCUGUACUGACGCUCAUGCACGAAAGCGUGGGGAGCAAACAGGAUUAGAUACCCGAGUAGUCCCUGUCUCUUAUAU